rnacentral:rRNA from 1 species
UGGGGAAUAUUGGACAAUGGGCGAAAGCCUGAUCCAGCAAUGCCGCGUGAGUGAUGAAGGCCUUAGGGUUGUAAAGCUCUUUCGCACGCGACGAUGAUGACGGUAGCGUGAGAAGAAGCCCCGGCUAACUUCGUGCCAGCAGCCGCGGUAAUACGAAGGGGGCUAGCGUUGUUCGGAAUUACUGGGCGUAAAGGGCGCGUAGGCGGCCUACCAAGUCAGACGUGAAAGCCCCGGGCUUAACCUGGGAAUUGCGCUUGAUACUGGUAAGCUCGAGUUCGGGAGAGGUGAGUGGAAUUCCCAGUGUAGAGGUGAAAUUCGUAGAUAUUGGGAAGAACACCGGUGGCGAAGGCGGCUCACUGGACCGAUACUGACGCUGAGGUACGAAAGCGUGGGUAGCAAACAGG